GGUAGCGUAGCUCAAUUGGUAGAGCGCCAGUGUGAAGUGCUGGGUGAGUUGGUUCGAUCCCAUCCGUUACCA
rnacentral:tRNA from 1 species